UGGGGAAUUUUGCGCAAUGGGGGAAACCCUGACGCAGCAACGCCGCGUGGAGGAUGAAAUCCCUUGGGAUGUAAACUCCUUUCGAUCGGGACGAUUAUGACGGUACCGGAAGAAGAAGCCCCGGCUAACUUCGUGCCAGCAGCCGCGGUAAUACGAGGGGGGCAAGCGUUGUUCGGAAUUAUUGGGCGUAAAGGGAGUGUAGGCGGUUUGGUAAGUUGUGUGUGAAAUCUUCGGGCUCAACCCGAAGUCUGCACACAAAACUGCCGGGCUUGAGGGUGGGAGAGGUGAGUGGAAUUUCCGGUGUAGCGGUGAAAUGCGUAGAUAUCGGAAGGAACACCUGUGGCGAAAGCGGCUCACUGGACCAUUUCUGACGCUGAAACUCGAAAGCUAGGGGAGCAAACAGGAUUAGAUACCCUGGUAGUCCUAGCCCUAAACGAUGACUGUUUGGUGUGGCGGGUACCCAAUCCCGCCGUGCCGUAGCUAACGCGUUAAACAGUCCGCCUGGGGAGUACGGUCGCAAGGCUG
rnacentral:rRNA from 1 species